rnacentral:rRNA from 1 species
UACGUAGGGGGCGAGCGUUGUCCGGAAUUACUGGGCGUAAAGGGCCAGUAGGCGGCCAACUAAGUCCGACGUGAAAUCCCAAGGCUUAACCUUGGAACUGCGUCGGAUACUGGAUGGCUUGAAUUCGGGAGAGGGAUGCAGAAUUCCAGGUGUAGCGGUGAAAUGCGUAGAUAUUGGGAGGAACACCAGUGGCGAAGGCGGCUCACUGGACUGGUACUGACGCUGAUGCGCGAAAGCGUGGGG